UUGGUAUGCACUGGCUUUACUGAUUCCUCCUUCUUGACGAACCGUGAUGUCAUUAAUUUGGUGUUGCGGGAAACAGGACUGUUACUUUGAAAAAAUUAGAGUGUUUAAAGCAGGCUAACGCUUGAAUACAUUAGCAUGGAAUAAUGAAAUAGGACGUUUGAUCCUAUUUUGUUGGUUUCUAGGAUUGACGUAAUGAUUAAUAGGGAUAGUUGGGGGCAUUAGUAUUCAAUUGUCAGAGGUGAAAUUCUUGGAUUUAUUGAAGACUGACUACUGCGAAAGCAUUUGCCAAGGAUGUUUUCAUUAAUCAAGAACGAAAGUUAGGGGAUCGAAGACGAUCAGAUACCGUCGUAGUCUUAACCAUAAACUAUGCCGACUAGGGAUCGGAUGAUGUUAAUUUUUUAAUGACUCAUUCGGCGCCUUACG
rnacentral:rRNA from 1 species